rnacentral:rRNA from 1 species
GAUGAACGCUGGCGGCGUGCCUAAUACAUGCAAGUCGAGCGAACGGACGAGAAGCUUGCUUCUCUGAUGUUAGCGGCGGACGGGUGAGUAACACGUGGAUAACCUACCUAUAAGACUGGGAUAACUUCGGGAAACCGGAGCUAAUACCGGAUAAUAUUUUGAACCGCAUGGUUCAAAAGUGAAAGACGGUCUUGCUGUCACUUAUAGAUGGAUCCGCGCUGCAUUAGCUAGUUGGUAAGGUAACGGCUUACCAAGGCAACGAUGCAUAGCCGACCUGAGAGGGUGAUCGGCCACACUGGACCUGAGACACGGUCCAGACUCCUACGGGAGGCAGCAGUAGGGAAUCUUCCGCAAUGGGCGAAAGCCUGACGGAGCAACGCCGCGUGAGUGAUGAAGGUCUUCGGCUCGUAAAACUCUGUAUUAGGGAAGAACAUAUGUGUAAGUAACUGUGCACAUCUUGACGGUACCUAAUCAGAAAGCCACGGCUAACUACGUG